CCCAGUGGACAUCUACCUAGAAAUAGCCACAGGUCCCAGUCAUCAGUACUGAGACACAUGAGCAGGGUCAGGCCUGGUUAGUGCUUGGAUGGGAGACCACCUGGGAGGACUGGGUGCUGUAGGCU
rnacentral:rRNA from 1 species